rnacentral:rRNA from 1 species
UACGGGGGGGGCAAGCGUUGUUCGGAAUUACUGGGCGUAAAGGGCUUGUAGGCGGCCAACUAAGUCAGACGUGAAAUCCCUCGGCUUAACCGGGGAACUGCGUCUGAUACUGGAUGGCUUGAGUUUGGGAGAGGGAUGCGGAAUUCCAGGUGUAGCGGUGAAAUGCGUAGAUAUCGGGAGGAACACCAAUUGCGAAGGCAGCUCGCUGGGACGGUACUGACGCUGAGGCGCGAAAGCGUGGGGAGCAAACAGG